rnacentral:lncRNA from 1 species
GUGGGGGCGGAGCCAGCAUCUCCAGUGUAGCGGCAGACUUGCAGUCCACAGUGCGGGAGCUCUUAGUGGUUUAGCAGGAUCAGGCCAAGAAGAAUCGAGAACACACCCGGAAGUUGGAGAGACCCGAAGAAUCCAGCCAAGGGCCUGGAUCCCACGGCAGUGUCCCGCAGAAGUCCAGCUAAAGGCCUACAGUCCAAGGCAAUGUCCUCCACGAGUCCAGCCAGAGGCCUAGGUCCCACAGCAGUGUCUCAUCCAAGUCCGUAUCGGGGAUCGGCACCGGGAAGGCCCAAGGGCCAGUGGUGGAAGCUAAAAGCCUGCACUGUCGGGGAGAAGGCUCUGCGCCCCCAGCCGAGGGACCUGCCCUGGAGCCAGGAAGCGAUACUCAAGGCGAAGACCAUCCAUCGUGACCAUGAGGACCUGACAUGGCAAGCUUCUCCAAGAAAACUGGAGCAUGCAAGCUUCCCCUCCAGUUCUAUUUUUAUGCUGUUGCAAUAACCCUCAGGUGGGUCUUCCACACCCAGACCACGCUGACUCAGUUCAGCUGGGCGUUCCUAGUUCACCAUUAGUUAGUCCACCCCACCCACUAAAAAAGAAAAACAGAAAUACGUACUGCAAUAAAUAGUUUGCCUG